CCCGUGCCAUCAGGAGGUACAAUGACUCUCUCAGGAGGAGCGGGGGGGAGGUGGCGAGGUCAGCACACGGUUGAAUGGAUGUAAUUUAAUUUAAUUUUAUACUGUUUAUAUUUUAAUUUAACACUGUUAUAUUUUUUUUUAAUUUUAUACUGUUUUUAUUUUAAUUUUAUAGUGUUUAUAUUUUAGUUAUAGUUUAGUAUAUAAGUCCUUUUAGUGCUGCAUGUGUCUGUUAGUGUAGUGUAUGUCUUGUGGUAUGUCCUGUGAUGUCAGUGUUUCUUUUUCUCCUGGUGUUUAUCCAGUAUUAUUUGUUAUGUAAUGCCUGAGCAGUGGAUAUAUACAAUUUCCUCCGGGAUUAAUAAAGUAUCUAUCUAUCUAUCUAUCUAACAGGACGACCCGCCCUCCUGGGUUUUCAGGCCCCCCACUUCAUUGGCUUCAUCCAGGUCAUGAGGUCGUAGAACCAGCAGACAGGGCUGUCUGGGCUUUCCCCGGGGCUGUAGUAGCGCCCGUGAGCCCUAAGCCAAACUCCGUCGCAUGAACUCCAGGAGGGCGGGUCACCCGGUGACGGUGCACCGUGGCUGGGAAGGAUUGCCUGCCAGCAUCCUUCCUCUCUCUCUCUGGAAGACACUUGGUCGUAGAACCAGCAGAUGGGGCAGUCAUUUCUACAAUGACAAGUGACUCUCACCAACAAUAACUCCUCCUUCCUCCUCGUCUUCCUUUGCUCUAAAGGUUACCUAAAUUACAGUGCUACAGUACUGUACACCUACGUAUUUUUUAAUAUGAUAUUAAAUGUUUUAUUGUUAUUGGUUGUAUAGUAACAUUAUAUGUGCUUUGAACGGUUUUCUGGAGAUUUUAUGAUUCCGAUAUUUUUCAGUGUAUUUCUUUUUUCUGAAAACCGAAGAAUAAUCGACAUAAGAACGACAUAACUUCAAAUGACGUUGGUUGAGGCAUACCUAUAUUCUGUUUCAUGUUUGUGUUGAUUUUAUUUACUGUAAUUGCUUCUAGUAAGUCUUUUGGAAUACAGUGGUACCUCUACUGACAAAAUUAAUUGGUUCUGGAAGAAAUUUCUUAACUAGAAUUUUUUUUAAGUACAGACGCGUUUUCCAUGCAAAUGCCCUAAUCCAUACCAAGCCCCCCAAUAUUCAGGCAUAAAUGUUUUAUAAAGCAUAAAGAUCCAUCAAAACAUGUAACAAAUAUAUGUUACAAUUAGACUAUUACACAAUAAAUGAGAGUUGUGCAUAAUGUAAAAAACAAAGAAUAAAGAAUAAAAAUGAUGGUCAUUUACCUCAGGAUAGCUGGUGCUCAGAGUAUCGAAGUUUUAUCUAGUAAAGCGAAUGAUUAGAGGUCUUGGGGCUGAAACAAUCUCAACCUAUUCUGAAACUUUAAAUGGGUAAGAAGCUCGGCUCGCUUGCUUGGAGCCGGGCGUGGAAUUCGAGCCGCCUGGUGGGCCACAGAACUGGGAGGGAGCCCCGUUCGUGAGGGGCCCACACCAUUGGCGGGCCGAAGGCCCACGAGGGGUGUUGACGCGAUGUGGUCACUUUGACAUUCAGAGCACUGGGCAGUAAAGAAAUUCAAUGUAGCACCCGUAAACGGCGGUAGUAAUUACGACUCUCUUCCAUCCAUCCAUCAUCUACCGCUUAUCCAGGGCCGGGUCGCGGGGGCAGCAGUCUCAGCAGGGAUGCCAAUACUUCCCUCUCCCAAGACACUUCCUCCAGCUCCUCCGGGGGGAGCCCGAGGCAUUCCCAUAUGACUCUCUUAAGGUAGCCAAAUGCCUCGUCAUCUAAUUAGUGACACACUUGAAAGGAUGAACAAGAUUCCCACUUUUUUCUACCUACUAUCUAGCAAAACCACAGCCAAGGGAAUGGGCUUAGUAAAAUCAGCAAGGAAAUAAGCCCCUGUUGAGCUUGACUCUAAUUUGGCACUUUGAAGAGAUGGGAGAGGUGUAGAAUAAGUGGUAGGCCUCAGCCACUGGUGAAAUACCACAAAUCUUAUCUUUUUUUCACUUACCCGUGGAGGCGAGCCCCGAGUGGGCUCUCGCUUCUGGCAUCAUGUGUCCGGCCCCUCUAAGGUCAGGCGCGACCUGCUCCAGGGCCAGUGGUAGGUUGGGAGUUUGACUGGGGCGGUACACCUGUAAAACGGUAACGCAGGUGUCCUAAGGUGACCUUGGGGAAGACAGAAACCUCUCGUGGAGCAGAAGGGUAAAACUUCGCUUGAUCUUGAUUUUCAGUAUGAAUACAGACCUUGAAAGCGGGGCCUCAUGAUCCGUCUGACUUUUUGGGUUUUAAUGAGGAGGUUUCAGAAAAGUUACCACAGGGAUAACUGGCUUGUGGCAGCCAAGCGUUCAUAGCAACAUUGCUUUUUGAUCCUUCAAUGCCGGCUCUUCCUAUCAUUGUGGAGCAGAAUUUACCAAGCGUUGGAUUGUUCACCCACUAAAAGGGAACGUGAGCUGGGUUUAGACUGUCGUGAGACAGGUUAGUUUUACCCUACUGAUGAUGUGUUGUAGCAAUAGUAACCCUGCUCAGUACGAGAGGAACCUCAGGUUUAGACAUUUGGUGUAUGUGCUUGGCUGAGGAGCCAAUGGUGCGGAGCUACUAUCUGAGUGAUUAUGACUGAAUGCCUCUAAGUCAGAAUCCCGCCUAGACGUAACGAUACCAUAGCGCCACGGAACUUCGAUUGGCCCUGGAUAGCCAACAGGCUCCAGCCUGCCAGCGAACAGAACCGUUCGUGACAGGGCCAAGGUAAGGCCAGACGAUGGCCGCCCCUCUCCUGACUCGCACCGUCCGUUUGUGGAGAACCCUGGUAUUCUGGGUCAGGGUUUCGUACUUAGCAAAAGAGCCCCCUCGUUGCGAUCUAUUGAAAGUCAGCUCUCAAUCCAAGAUUUUGUCGGCAAGC
rnacentral:rRNA from 1 species